rnacentral:rRNA from 1 species
GACGAACGCUGGCGGCGUGCUUAACACAUGCAAGUCGAACGGUGACGAGGAGCUUGCUCCUCUGAUCAGUGGCGAACGGGUGAGUAACACGUGAGCAACCUGCCCCAGACUCUGGGAUAACAGUUGGAAACAGCUGCUAAUACCGGAUACGAGGCGGAGAGGCAUCUCUACCGUCUGGAAAGUUUUUCGGUCUGGGAUGGACUCGCGGCCUAUCAGCUAGUUGGUGAGGUAAUGGCUCACCAAGGCGACGACGGGUAGCCGGCCUGAGAGGGCGACCGGCCACACUGGGACUGAGACACGGCCCAGACUCCUACGGGAGGCAGCAGUUGGGAAUCUUGGGCAAUGGGCGAAAGCCUGACCCAGCGACGCCGCGUGAGGGAAGAAGGCCUUCGGGUCGUAAACCUCUGUCAUGGGGGAAGAAGCAAGUGACGGUACCCCAAGAGGAAGCCCCUGCUAACUACGUG